UGCAUCAAAAACCUGUUGGGCUCGAUCCCGGCCAUGUAAUUCCGCACCUCUUUCCUUAUCAUCUCCUGCAGAGUUGCCAAGAACUCAGGGCUAAAAAACUGUUUGUCCGCAUCAACCUGGGAUGGCAUAGCCACCUCCCCAACUGCAGGUUUAGCUGCCGCAGUAAACUGCUGAGACAGUGGCGGCGGCGGUGCCAAAGUCAUCUGAGAAGCUUGGACAGGUGGUGCCGGAGACUGGAUUAUCUGUGUAUGGUGCAUAGUGGACCCUGAUUUACGAUCCGGCUCCCGUGAAGGUUUAGGGGUCGGGUCUGAUACAGGUUUCAUUUGUGGGGGAAAGGACUCUAAAACGGGUUUUGAAUUGGAACCCGACCCAGGUAAGGAAAGGCUAAGUGAUGUGAGGAGGUCUGGUUGAGAAGGCGUAGGAUGAGGAGGAGAGAUCCCUCCGGUUCUUGCAAUGGGUCGGUAAAUUUGAUGACCCGAGAGGCUUGAUUCGCUCAAAUCGGAUCCGGAUGGACUGCUAGGAUCGAAGUUAAGACCCGAGUUAGAAAUCACUGUACCCGGCCCGACGCUUGAAGAUCUUUUCAAUGGCUGUUGAGUUUCAGGCUCAAAAUUAUUGAACUCUUCGCACAUCGAAAAGCACUUACGCUUCAGAGUCGAGUUCCAAUGAUUCUUGAUGGCAUUAUCCGUCCGGCCCGACAAUAAUCGUGAUAUGGUAGCCCACUUGUUGCCAAAUUUCGCGUGAGCCCGAAUGAUUUUCUCAUCUUCUUCAGGUGUGAAAGCCCGAUGCUGGACUUCAGGGGAAAGCUGGUUGCACCACCGCAACCUGCACGAUUUCCCAGACCGUCCCGGAAUCGAUUUGCUAAUCAAAGACCAGUUCCUGGGUCCAUGCUUCUCGACCAACCUCUGCAACAACGCAUCCUCUUCCGGGCUCCACGGGCCCUUGAUCCGAUCCAUUUCUUUCGUCUGUGAUAACACCGCCAUAACCAAGAUAGACAACAAGUUUCUGUAUGUACAGGUAUAUUGAGAGGCAGAGCCUCACCUCAGUAUGAGACGAAGGCAGAGAUGAGAAAGGGGGAUGUAUAUAAGGGUGAAGAAGAAAGAUAAUGACCGGGUGAACCGGUGGAGUUACCGGGAAAAGGGCAGUUAAUAACAAUACAGCUGGCAAUAGACACGCGUCAUUUGGUGGAAGGGUAGAUGUGACACCUAGAUUACUAAAAUCUCGGGUAUUUAAAAAAAGAGAGUGGGGGGUUUGAAGCAGCAGUUAACUGCCACGUUUAAUAACUAAAAUGCUGGCUCAGGCAGCAACCUUCUUUAACUUCCAACACAAAUAAAUGUUCUUAACUAACGUACUAAUCCAUUAAUUGAAGAGAUAAAUUAGUAACACUGAAUUAACAUGUCCAUCGCAUAUAGUCUUAUGGUUGAACAGAUUUAGAACAGACGACGAUUUUCAAACGAACCCUUUUGAUAGUGACACCACCACAAAUAGAAGCAUCACCUAAGCUUGUGGAUUGAAUUGAUCAAAAAUAGCUUAUUCCCAAAGCACAUACAUACAUGUAAAAUAUUUUGAUAAUUAUUUUUCGCAAAAUCGAUUUUAGAAACUUUUUUCAUAAUUAUUUAUUUAUUUUUUAAUGGAGAAUGGACUGCUCCUUUUUGGUUUUUAUAUCUACGCUUGAAUCAAGGUACAAUCCUGGAGUCAAGUGUUGAAUGGACGGCCAUAUUAGCCCAAAAAUUGAUAGGGCUUUUCCAACGAAUUUCCUGAUAAAUUGCAAGCCAAAGUCUGCUUUCUCCUCUACCUAAUUUCAAACCUGAAAGAGAGUUUUCUUAUUAUUUCUUUUUUGUUUCGUAUCCCAUGUUGAGUACGUGUGAUAUAUACUUUUACUUGUGCCUUUAAUUUUAAAUCUUAAAAAUUUAAAAAUUCAAAUAUUAAAACCUGUAAUUUAAUUUGUGGGUAGAAGAAAAUAACACCCUUUUUUUUAUUAUUUUUUUUAACUUUUUGAGUGAGUCAUUCUCCGUCCAGCAUCAAAUUUUCGCUUUGCUCAAACCUAACUCGAUUCAGCAUUAACCCUUACUCCUUCAUUGAUUCAUCUAUACAAUACCUCAGAAUUAUUUUUGUAGAACGAAGCUAAGAAAUCUACAAAACGAAAUUAAUCAUUCUGCAUCCAUUAAACCCCAUCCCAAUUCACCCGUUCCAAAAACUAUUCUUCCACGAGUCUUGAUUUUGAAUUCAUUCGAUCACUCACUAGUCAAUCUUGCUUAUCCCAAUUCGCUUCACCACUGCAUUCCUUAUCGCAUCUGUCUGCAUCAAAAACCUGUUGGGCUCGAUCCCCGCCAUGUAAUUCCGCACCUCUUUCCUUAUCAUCUCCUGCAGAGUUGCUAAGAACUCAGGGCUAAAAAACUGUUUGUCCGCAUCAACCUGGGAUGGCAUAGCCACCUCCCCAACUGCAGGUUUAGCUGCCGCAGUAAACUGCUGAGACAGUGGCGGCGGCGGUGCCAAAGUCAUCUGAGAAGCUUGGACAGGUGGUGCCGGAGACUGGAUUAUCUGUGUAUGGUGCAUAGUGGACCCUGAUUUACGAUCCGGCUCCCGUGAAGGUUUAGGGGUCGGGUCUGAUACAGGUUUCAUUUGUGGGGGAAAGGACUCUAAAACGGGUUUUGAAUUGGAACCCGACCCAGGUAAGGAAAGGCUAAGUGAUGUGAGGAGGUCUGGUUGAGAAGGCGUAGGAUGAGGAGGAGAGAUCCCUCCGGUUCUUGCAAUGGGUCGGUAAAUUUGAUGACCCGAGAGGCUUGAUUCGCUCAAAUCGGAUCCGGAUGGACUGCUAGGAUCGAAGUUAAGACCCGAGUUAGAAAUCACUGUACCCGGCCCGACGCUUGAAGAUCUU
rnacentral:lncRNA from 1 species